GACGACGCUGGCGGCGUGCCUAAUACAUGCAAGUCGAGCGGGGAUUAUGCUUGAUCGCUUCGGUGAGACGGCAUAUAUCCUAGCGGCGGACGGGUGAGUAACGCGUGGGUAAUCUACCUCGUAGUUCGGGAUAACAGGCCGAAAGGCUUGCUAAUACCGGAUGAGUUCAUGCUUAUGCAUAUAGGCAUGAAGAAAGGGCUAGCCCGCUAUGAGAUGAGCCCGCGUCCCAUUAGCUUGUUGGUGGGGUAACGGCCUACCAAGGCAACGAUGGGUAGCCGGCCUGAGAGGGUGUACGGCCACACUGGGACUGAGACACGGCCCAGACUCCUACGGGGGGCAGCAGUAGGGAAUUUUGGACAAUGGGGGAAACCCUGAUCCAGCCAUGCCGCGUGCAGGAUGAAGGCCUUCGGGUUGUAAACUGCUUUUGUACGGAACGAAAAGGUCCUUUCUAAUAAAGAGGGCUCAUGACGGUACCGUAAGAAUAAGCACCGGCUAACUACGUG
rnacentral:rRNA from 1 species